GUAGGUGGCAAGCGUUGUCCGGAAUUAUUGGGCGUAAAGCGCGCGCAGGCGGUCCUUUAAGUCUGAUGUGAAAGCCCACGGGCUCAACCGUGGAGGGUCAUUGGAAACUGGGGGACUUGAGUACAGAAGAGGAAAGCAGAAUUUCAAGUGUAGCGGUGAAAUGCGUAGAGAUUUGGAGGAACACCAGUGGCGAAGGCGGCUUUCUGGUCUGUAACUGACGCUGAGGCGCGAAAGCGUGGGGAGCAAACAGGAUUAGAUACCCUGGUAGUCCACGCCGUAAACGAUGAGUGCUAAGUGUUAGGGGGUUUCCGCCCCUUAGUGCUGCAGCUAACGCAUUAAGCACUCCGCCUGGGGAGUACGGCCGCAAAGGCUG
rnacentral:rRNA from 1 species